AGUGAACGCUGGCGGUAGGCCUAACACAUGCCAGUCGAACGGCAGCACAGUAAGAGCUUGCUCUUACGGGUGGCGAGUGGCGGACGGGUGAGGAAUACAUCGGAAUCUACUUUUUCGUGGGGGAUAACGUAGGUAAACUUACGCUAAUACCGCAUACGACCUACGGGGGAAAGCGGGGGAUCUUCGGACCUUGCGCGAUUGAAUGAGCCGAUGUCGGAUUAGCUGGUUGGCGGGGUAAAGGCCCAACAAGGCGACGAUCCGUAGCUCGGCUGAGAGGAUGAUCAGCCACACUGGAACUGAGACACGGUCCAGACUCCUACGGGAGGCAGCAGUGGGGAAUAUUGGACAAUGGGCGCAAGCCUGAUCCAGCCAUACCGCGUGGGUGUAGAAGGCCUUCGGGUUGUAAAGCCCUUUUGUUGGGAAAGAAAAGCAGCAGGUUAAUACCCCGCUGUUCUGACGGUACCCAAAGAAUAAGCACCGGCUAACUUCGUG
rnacentral:rRNA from 1 species